rnacentral:rRNA from 1 species
UACGUAGGGGGGCAAGCGUUGUCCGGAAUUACUGGGCGUAAAGCGCGCGUAGGCGGCUUUGUAAGUUAGAGGUGAAAGCCCGGGGCUCAACCCCGGAACUGCCUUUAAGACUGCAUCGCUAGAAUUGUGGAGAGGUAAGUGGAAUUCCGAGUGUAGAGGUGAAAUUCGUAGAUAUUCGGAAGAACACCAGUGGCGAAGGCGACUUACUGGACACAUAUUGACGCUGAGGUGCGAAAGCGUGGGGAGCAAACAGG